CUCGCUCUCCGGCUCUGGGCUGGGAGUGCCCCCCCAUCUUGCAUUUCCAGCCUCAGGACGGAGCUUGGCUGCCUGGGCGGCCCAGACCUGUCACUAUCACGGCAGCCGAGGGCAAGGACACCCUCUCUCCGACGAGUCCUGACCCCCUUCUCCAGGCUUGCGCACCCAGGCUGCAGCAUCUGCACUGGCCUGACAUUUUAACAGUCACCUCUCCCAAGGGAGACCCCUAGCAGGGAGCAGGCCCCCAAAGCAGGGCCCCAAAGUGGCCAGCCGUGCCAGAGCCCAUUCACCGCGAGGGCUGUGCAGACCAAGCACAGCACAACUCCUGGAUCCCUCCGGGGGCCUCGCCGUGACGCUGUCCUCUGGACUUGUGCGGGACGGCCUGCCGCCGCUCCUGCCCAGUGCCCCAGAGCCGAGGAGGCCACCAGGGACCCCUGGUGCUUCACACAGCACUUGUUGUCUCAGCUCAGUGGCUACAAGAGCACUUGUUCUGUGCCCGGUGGGUCUUCCCCCAGCCCGCUAGGAAGAGAAGGGAAAGGAUCUAGGCAAGGAACCUGGAAGCCAGAACCUGAGUCCAUGUAACCUGAGCGUGGUUAUUUCUCCUUGCGUGCCUCAGUUUCCCCACCUGUAAAAUGAAAUGCAAUUUUUGUCUGUGCAUCUCCUGGUGCUAAAGCUCCUGAGUGAUCGCCUUUGGGAGCCUGCACGAGUGUCCCCCAGAAGGAGGGAAGGACCCCUUGGCCGCCCCCUGUCAGUUUGGUGUGGCCCCUCCUGCUACUGCCUGGGAAGGCCCAGUCCUGCCCCCCCCCAUUCUCCUGCAGAAGGAACACAGCUGCACCCCGCUUACAUUCCCCUGUUUUGCGUGCUGUCUCCCCAUCAUGCUUUUCUGCUUCCAAAAGCUCAAACACAGCCGAUCCCAAGGGCUGCGCACUUCCUGUGUCCCCUACCCCAUGUGGCCCCAGCCUCCCGAGCCUCCUGCCCCCUGCACCUGGUCCCAGGGCCAGGUCUGGAGCCCGCUGGGCUCUGUCUGGGUCACCACCCACUGCACUCUCCGCUGGGCUGGAAAACACAGAACAUGAGGCCCUGGAAGCGGGGAGCUGCGCCGUCUGUCGCGCCCAGCCUGCCCGUGCCAGCGAGUCUGGAAUUGUCAUCAGCCCGCUGGUCGCAGACCAGUGAACAGCGCCAGCGUGUUCACCGGCUUCCUGGAAGGAGCAACCACGGCCUCCGUGAGGUCCACCCCGGGGUCAGCCCUGAGCGCCACUCUCUGGCCAAGUUCCGCCACUUCUUGAGCUGCAGAUCAAACAGCUUGGGCACUUAAUGAUCACGGGACCUGGGGACUCGGAAAGUUAAACAGCCCCAUUUCGGCUUGGUCGUCACAUUCUUUCUCUGUAAAGAAGUGUCGGCUGCUGGUCCCCAAGCAGAGCUGGAAUCCUCCUACAAACGAACAGAGCGGAGAAGACAAGUCCACCCUGGCCAUGGGGGCAGGUGAGAAGGUUCCCACUCUGCACUGCCGUGCUGGACCACUGCAGCUGCCCUCAGGCUUCCUGUGUGGGCACUGCCACAGACCCCUGGAGGGACCGUGACAUCAGUCCCCUCCCUGGAUCUUGGAGUGGACAGACCCAUCACUUCUGGGCUUGCCAGGGUGGGGCCAGCCUGGCAUUUCCCCAGAUGUAUUCCUGAGCACCUGAAAGUGCCCGCUCCUCACCCUGAGGACAUGACAGGCAUUCCUGGGCCUCUGGGGGCACAUCCUGCCCUGAUGUGGCUCUAGCCUGGGGCUUGCUUGCUUCUGAGAGAAGGCUAGUUGUCCUGUCAUAGCAAUGGUUGCACCCGGGUGGAGCUUCCAGUGGACGGGACCGCUGCUUGGGGUAUCCAGAGGGGCACAGCUCCCUACCCAGAGGUGUGCUGGGGUGCAGAGUGUUGUGUCCCCUGCAUUUCAGUGGAGGCAGAAGGGGCAUUUUCCUUCUUGGAGAGACAGGCCAAGCAGGGCUUGGAGUGCAGAGUGACAGCGCAGAGCAGGACAGGACAGUCAGAGGACCCAGGGAGCCCAGGGGACCCAGGAGUGGGUGUCUGUUCCCCAUGGGAAAUGCCACCGUGGCUGGAUGGCUGGCUUCCCUUGUCUGUGGGACUGGGACCCCGAUCACUCCCUCCUGGUCUCUCCAGGCGGCUGAGAGGUCUGUGUGACCCUGCACCUCAUGGUUCUCGUGUGCUUGCUUUCCUUUGGCGGUGGAGGCCUGUCUGGAAAGAACUUAAAGCUCCUCCAGAGCCCGGAGCCAGAGAUGCCACUGUGAGGUGGGAGAAGCCGUGGCCACCGAGCUCUGCCACCCACCCCGCCCCCCAGAGGGCACAGCUGGGGGACCGUGCACGCCGUCUCCGGCACAGCCCGCCCAGCCCCCGCUGCAUCUGGGUGGGCCCCAGGCUGCUGUGAGCAACUUUGAUUCUGCAACUUUUUCCAAACCCGAACAUGAUUCACGUCCCAGACCGGCUGGUGGAAUUUCUCACACCCGGAGCUGAGGUACCGUCUGCGCUUCCCAGAGCUCCUGCUGCUGCUCCUACCGUCCGGCCGCCCAGAGGGACACGGCCCACAGCAGCCACAUUCCUCCUGGGUGAGGCUCUGGUGCUUAUCUCAGCGACCUGCAGACCCAGCACGGCACUCUUUAUAUUGCCCAGGCUCGCCGCAUUCUACAGGCCCAGUAAUCCCCCAGGUGCAGGAUAGCCCGGGGCCAUGACCCUGCCCUUUACUCGCCCACCCCACCAUCCCCUCUCCUCCCACACUGGCCCUUCCCUCCCUGAGAGUCUUCAGCUGGCGUUUGCGCAUGUCCCUGCCAAGGGUCCCAAACAAGGCAACCUCUUGUGAGGACAGAGGUUAACACUGUGUUCUUGCAGGGCUAUAAAGGAAAUGAAUGAGGGGCUUGGGAUUCAGCUCAGCGGCACAACGCCUGCCUGGCAAGCGUGAGGUCAUGAGUUCAAUCCCGUGAGUACCAGAAAACAAAACAAAACAAAAAAAAGAAAUGAAUGACUCUUGUCUGGUUAAUUGCUGUUUAGGUUCCUCAGGACAAUGACAGUAUGUCAUUUUCUCCUGUGCCUUUUAUCCGGGGACUGGGUGGGCUCGGCACAGCCCGCACCUGGGCUGGAGGGAUGGGAGCUAAAGGCCACGCAGAGGCUGCGACAACCACAGUGACAGGACAGGGGGAGAGGGGCCGGCAGCACCGUCAUCAAGAGGGGCAUGACGGGGUCCCCUGGGCAUGAGGCAGGGCUGGUCUGCCGUGCAUGUGUGGGAGCAGAGAGACAGCAAGUGGCCUGGAAGAAAGGGCAGGCGGCUGGGUCAUCGAG
ensembl:lincRNA